rnacentral:rRNA from 1 species
AGUGAACGCUGGCGGUAGGCCUAACACAUGCAAGUCGGACGGCAGCACAGUAAGAGCUUGCUCUUACGGGUGGCGAGUGGCGGACGGGUGAGGAAUACAUCGGAAUCUACUUUUUCGUGGGGGAUAACGUAGGGAAACUUACGCUAAUACCGCAUACGACCUACGGGUUAAAGCAGGGGAUCUUCGGACCUUUCGCGAUUGAAUGAGCCGAUUUCGGAUUAGCUAGUUGGCGGGGUAAAGGCCCACCAAGGCGACGACCCGUAGCGUGUCUGAGAGGAUGAUCAGCCACACUGGAACUGAGACACGGUCCAGACUCCUACGGGAGGCAGCAGUGGGGAAUAUUGGACAAUGGGCGCAAGCCUGAUCCAGCCAUACCGCGUGGGUGAAGAAGGCCUUCGGGUUGUAAAGCCCUUUUGUUGGGAAAGAAAAGCGGCAGGUUAAUACCCCGCUGUUCUGACGGUACCCAAAGAAUAAGCACCGGCUAACUUCGUG